rnacentral:rRNA from 1 species
CAGUCGCCGCGGUAAUACGUAGGGUGCAAGCGUUAUCCGGAAUUAUUGGGCGUAAAGAGCUCGUAGGCGGUUUGUCGCGUCUGCUGUGAAAACUGGAGGCUCAACCUCCAGCCUGCAGUGGGUACGGGCAGACUAGAGUGCGGUAGGGGAGAUUGGAAUUCCUGGUGUAGCGGUGGAAUGCGCAGAUAUCAGGAGGAACACCGAUGGCGAAGGCAGAUCUCUGGGCCGUAACUGACGCUGAGGAGCGAAAGCAUGGGGAGCGAACAGGAUUAGAGACCCCAGUAGUCCCUGUCUCUUAUAC